GAGUUUGAUCAUGGCUCAGGAUGAACGCUGGCGGCGUGCUUAACACAUGCAAGUCGAACGGUGAAAGAGAGCUUGCUCUCUGGAUCAGUGGCGAACGGGUGAGUAACACGUGAGCAAUCUGCCCCUGACUCUGGGAUAACAGCUGGAAACAGCUGCUAAUACCGGAUACGAGUUGCGAAGGCAUCUUCAGCAGCUGGAAAGAAUUUCGGUCAGGGAUGAGCUCGCGGCCUAUCAGCUUGUUGGUGAGGUAAUGGCUCACCAAGGCGUCGACGGGUAGCCGGCCUGAGAGGGUGACCGGCCACACUGGGACUGAGACACGGCCCAGACUCCUACGGGAGGCAGCAGUGGGGAAUAUUGCACAAUGGGCGAAAGCCUGAUGCAGCAACGCCGCGUGAGGGACGACGGCCUUCGGGUUGUAAACCUCUUUUAGCAAGGAAGAAGCGAAAGUGACGGUACUUGCAGAAAAAGCGCCGGCUAACUACGUGCCAGCAGCCGCGGUAC
rnacentral:rRNA from 1 species